rnacentral:rRNA from 1 species
UACGUAGGGUGCAAGCCUUGAUCGGAUUUAUUGGGCGUAAAGGGCGCGUAGGCGGAUAUGCCAGUCAGAUGUGAAAUCCCGGGGCUCAACCCCGGAACAGCAUUUGAAACUAUAUUUCUAGAGGGUAGACGGAGAAAACGGAAUUCCACAAGUAGCGGUGAAAUGCGUAGAUAUGUGGAAGAACACCAGUGGCGAAGGCGGUUUUCUAGUUUAUACCUGACGCUGAGGCGCGAAAGCAAGGGGAGCAAACAGG